rnacentral:rRNA from 1 species
CCCUUAGAUGUUCUGGGCCGCACGCGCGUUACAAUGAAUCGUUCAACAGGUUUCUUCCUGAGUCGAAAGGCUUGGGUAAUCCUUUAAAUACGGUUCGUGCUAGGGAUAGAUUUUUGCAAUUAUUAAUCUUGAACGAGGAAUAUUUAGUAAACGCAGGUCAUCAGCCUGCAUUGAUUACGUCCCUGCCCUUUGUACACACCGCCCGUCGCUCCUACCGAUUGAGUGGUCCGGUGAGGCUUUGGGAUCUGAGCGGAAAGAGCGUUUCGCUGUUUCUGCUCGGAAAACUCAGUCGAACCUUAUCAUUUAGAGGAAGGAGAAGUCGUAACA